CACAUCUCUUCCACAUCACCUUGGUGUCUCCCUAAAUAAAACCAGCCCUCCUUAUCGCACCGAGGAAAUCAAGACCAAGAGUUUGAAUGGAUUUUAUAUAAAUAUUUACCCCGACGAAGCUACUGCUGAGCUCGUGGGAUAAACUCGCAGCAGCUGGUCUCACUCUGCUUCCCUCGCCUGCCUCUGAAAGGGUUUAAUUACUUUGGAGAGGAGAGGGGAGAGAUCCAGAUCCCAGUUCUGGCUCAGACUGACCCAAAAAGCAGGACCAGGAUUUAAAUGAACUAUGGAUCUGAAGGACAGCAACAGCGAGGGCAGCAUGGGCAGCCUGCAGCCUUCCAGCAUCCAGAUUUUUGCCAACACAACCACGCUCCACGGGAUCCGUCACGUCUUUGUCUAUGGGCCGGUCACCAUCCGGCGCCUGCUCUGGACCUUGGCUUUUGUGGGCUCGCUGGGUCUGCUCCUGGUGGAGAGCUCGGACAGGGUGGCUUUUUACUUCUCCUACCAGCAUGUGACCAAAGUGGAUGAGGUGGUGGCGAACAGCCUGGUGUUUCCUGCUGUCACCAUCUGUAACCUCAACGAGUUCCGCUUCUCCCGGCUCACCACCAACGACCUGUACCAUGCUGGGGAGCUCCUGGCUCUGCUUGAUGUGAACCUGCAGAUCCCCAACCCUCACCUGGCUGACCCUGCUGUCUUAGCCACCCUCCAAGAAAAGGCCAACUUUAAGCAGUAUAAACCCAAAGUUUUCAGCAUGCAAGAGUUCUUGGCACGGGUUGGCCACGACCUGAAGGAUAUGAUGCUGUACUGCAAGUUCAGGGGCCAGGAGUGCAACCACAAGGACUUCAGAACUGUGUUUACAAAAUAUGGGAAAUGCUACAUGUUUAACUCAGGAGAGGAGGGGCGGCCUCUCCUCACCACAGUGAAGGGGGGCACAGGGAAUGGCCUGGAAAUCAUGCUGGACAUCCAGCAGGACGAGUAUCUGCCCAUCUGGGGAGAAACAGAGGAGACGACCUUCGAGGCCGGAGUCAAGGUGCAGAUCCACAGCCAGUCCGAGCCUCCCUUCGUGCAGGAGCUGGGAUUUGGGGUGGCCCCCGGAUUCCAGACCUUUGUGGCCACCCAGGAGCAAAGGCUGACGUACCUGCCCCCGCCGUGGGGCGAGUGCCGCUCCCCGGAGCUGGGCCUGGCGUUUUUCCCGGUGUACAGCGUGACCGCCUGCAGGAUCGACUGCGAGACACGCUACAUCGUGGAGAACUGCAACUGCAGGAUGGUGCACAUGCCAGGGGAUGCUCCCUUCUGCACCCCGGAGCAGUACAAGGAAUGCGCAGAGCCCGCGCUCAGUCUCCUGGCAGAGAAGGACAGCAAUUACUGCAUCUGCAGGACCCCCUGUAACCUCACCAGGUACAACAAGGAGCUCUCCAUGGUCAAGAUCCCCAGCAAGACCUCAGCCAAGUACCUGGAGAAGAAGUUCAACAAGUCAGAAAAAUACAUCUCAGAGAAUAUUCUCGUGCUGGACAUUUUUUUUGAAGCACUCAACUAUGAGACCAUUGAGCAGAAGAAAGCCUACGAAGUGGCAGCCUUACUUGGUGACAUUGGUGGCCAGAUGGGGCUGUUCAUCGGGGCCAGCAUCCUCACCAUCCUCGAGCUCUUCGAUUACCUGUACGAGCUGAUCAAGGAGAAGUUAUUGGACCUUCUUGGAAAAGAGGAAGAGGACGGGAGCCAUGAGGAGAACGUGAGCACCUGUGAUCCAGUACCAAACCACUCGGAGAGCCUGAGCCACACUGUGACCGUGCCCCUGCAGGCCCCGCUGGGGACGCUGGAGGAAAUUGCCUGCUGACCCCUCCCCACCACAGUGCCCAUCCCGAGGAAGGAAAACUGCACAGGGAAAACAGGGACCCAGCUCAGUCCCUGGGUUUCAGUGCCAGAAGGAGCAUCCCAGAAUUCUCCAUUCCCAGCGCUGUAGGCUGACAGUUUUAGAAUAAAGAGAUCCCAAAGUCGGCGCUCUUGGAUUCCUCUCCUGGCCGCGUCCUCUGGGUGAGGUUGGGCUGAACCCCGAGCUCAGGCCAAGGUGAGCAUCCCUGGAGAGGAGCCACAGGGAUCCCUAUGGAUCAUCCCAGCCCUGCUGUGCUGCAGAGUCCGGGAGCAGCGGGUGGGCUUGGGUUCAUUCAUUUCUUUAAUUUUGGGGGGGAAUUUGUGGAAUUUCCUUCUUCUCCCAUUCAUGGAGUCUGUGCUUUCUCCUCGUUCUCCUGACUGAUAUUAAAGCUGGUCUUGUGGAAAUGGC